rnacentral:sRNA from 1 species
AAAGCGGCGAGUAAGAUGGAAGAUGAGGAGGUCGCUGAGAGCUGGGAAGAGGCGGCAGACAGCGGGGUUCCCCAUGUUCACUUGUAGAGCAUGGACCUCCAAAGCCACAAACAUAAGGCAUAGGUUUUACUCUAAGCCUUUCGGAAAUAGACAGACGGUUGGAAAAAAAACUGAAGAUCACACAAAAAGAGAGCAGGAAAUCCAAAUCUCCUCCCAAAGUGCCCAUUGUGAUUCAGGACGAUAGCCUUCCCGCGGGGCCCCCUCCACAGAUCCGCAUCCUCAAGAGGCCCACCAGCAACGGUGUGGUCAGCAGCCCCAACUCCACCAGCAGGCCCACCCUUCCAGUCAAGUCCCUAGCACAGCGAGAGGCCGAGUACGCUGAGGCCCGGAAGCGGAUCCUGGGCAGCGCCAGCCCCGAGGAGGAGCAGGAGAAACCCAUCCUCGACAGGCCAACCAGGAUCUCCCAACCCGAAGACAGCAGGCAGCCCAAUAAUGUGAUCAGACAGCCUUUGGGUCCUGAUGGGUCACAAGGCUUCAAACAGCGCAGAUAAAUGCAGGCAAGAAAAGAUGCCGCCGUUGCUGC